AAUCUUGUGCAUGGUUGAUUAUGGUGGUGGAAAAAAAAGGAUUGAGCAAACCAAGUAUCUGUCAACUUUAACUGCCGAUAGAGAUCGUCUAUUUCGAUGCCUUUCCUUGUUUAGAAAGAGGAAUGAGAGAUGAAAAGAUGGAAUGUGAAAAAGGAAUUAUCAAUGCAGGAUGAAAAUGAAAAAAAAUAAAUAAAAUAAAAUAAAAUAAAUUGGUGAGAAAUGGUUUCUGAAAUAACAUGUUGCAUUCAUAGUUAUGUGGGUUGAGAGCAGGGAUUGGGUGCAGCUGCUAAAGUUGGAUGGAUGGAUGAAUUUCGGUAGUGUUUUUGCCUACCCGAAUGAAUCACAGUGGUUUGCAAGGGCCACGGCAAUGCGCGAUGCACAAGGAGAGAAAACAAGGGUGCUGGGUUGUAGGUAAAGAGCAAAGUAUGUUUGAAAAAGAAAUGGAUCGGUUCUUUGUUUACAACAACAACCGAGGAAUCUAUGAAUGUAAGCAAAAAUUGAAGUUGAUGCAUGGAUGACGAAAGGUGACAUUUACAAGAAACCUAUUUUUUUUUUUUUUUAAUGUGCUUAAGAAAAAAAAAGGUGCUAACGAACCGAGUGGUGGAGAGCCAUAAAGAAAGGAGAGGAAAGAGAGAGAAAAAGGGAAUAGAGGAAAUGCAUGUAAAUAAAAGAAAUCGAAUGAAAAUUUAUAAAAUAUUAAAUUGAAUUUAUAGAAAUAAUUUGAAAUGAUGAAAAUCGUAUUGAAUAAUAAGAGAAUUGUGAACUGU